UACGAGGGGGGCUAGUGUUGUUCGGAAUCACUGGGCGUAAAGGGAGCGUAGGCGGGAGCCUAAGUUGGGUGUUUAAUUCCGGGGCCCAACCCCGGGCGUGCACUCAAAACUGGGUUUCUUGAAUAGGGGAGAGGUCGGUGGAAUUGGAGGUGUAGCGGUGGAAUGCGUAGAGAUCUCCAAGAACACCAGUUGCGAAGGCGGCCGACUGGACCCAUAUUGACGCUGAGGCUCGAAAGCAUGGGGAGCAAACAGG
rnacentral:rRNA from 1 species